rnacentral:rRNA from 1 species
UACGUAGGGGGCAAGCGUUGUCCGGAUUUAUUGGGCGUAAAGAGCGUGUAGGCGGUUUGGUAGGUCCGCUGUGAAAACUCGAGGCUCAACCUCGAGACGCCGGUGGAAACCAUCAGACUAGAGUCCGGAAGAGGAGAGUGGAAUUCCUGGUGUAGCGGUGAAAUGCGCAGAUAUCAGGAAGAACGCCCGUGGCUAAGGCGGCUCUCUAGUACGGUACUGACGCUGAGACGCGAAAGCGUGGGGAGCAAACAGG